rnacentral:rRNA from 1 species
GACGAACGCUGGCGGCGUGCUUAACACAUGCAAGUCGAACGAUGAAGAAAAGACUUGAAGCUUCGGCAGAAAUUCAUUUCGGAUUAGUGGCAGACGGGUGAGUAACGCGUGAGCAACCUACCUCUUACAAAGGGAUAGCCUCGGGAAACCGGGAUUAAUACCAUAUAACAUUGCGACGAAGCAUUUCGAUGCAAUCAAAGCUACGGCGGUAAGAGAUGGGCACGCGUCCCAUUAACCAGAUGGUGAGGUAACGGCUCACCAUAGUAACGAUGGGUAACCGGCCUGAGAGGGUGAACGGUCACACUGGAACUGAGACACGGUCCAGACUCCUACGGGAGGCAGCAGUGGGGAAUAUUGCACAAUGGAGGGAACUCUGAUGCAGCGACGCCGCGUGAGUGAUGAAGGAAUUCGUUUCGUAAAACUCUGUUCUAUGGGAAGAAAAGGACUGUACCAUAGGAGAAAGCUCCGGCUAAAUACGUG